ACUCUGCUGACAAUGGCUGUCUCAUGAGGCCCAUGGUGAGGUCUUAUCUUCCAGCUUCCUCUCCUCCUCAAUACGAUUGGUCCUUCUUCAUGGUGGAUCUUCCCUUUACGUCAUUGCGCUGUGUUCAUUGUCAGUUUGAGGUGUGCUUGUUAGAGGAACAAUCACAGCAACUAGAGCACAUGCUGUAGUUGCUGUGACCAUGAGCAGGAAGACAGC